rnacentral:rRNA from 1 species
CCUGCCAGUAGCCAUAUGCUUGUCUAGAAGAUUAAGCCAUGCAUGUGUAAGUAUUAAUAGAUUUUAAUAGUGAAACUGCGAAUGGCUCAAUUAAAACAGUUAUAGUUUAUUCGAUGAUGUUUUGUUAUUUGGAUAACCGUAGUAAUUCUAGGGCUAAUACAUGAACUAAAGAGGAGCAACUUAGAAGUGUUUCUCUGUAUUUAUUAGACUGAAAACUGGUACAGUAGCAAUACUGGCCCCUGGUUGAACCAUAAUAACUCUAUUACGAAUCGUAUGACCUCUGCGUCGACGAUGAAUCGUUCAAGUUUCUGACCUAUCAAUUCAAGAAGGUAGUGUAUUGGACCACCUUGAUUGUAACGGGUACGGAGAAUUAGGGUUCGAUUCCGGAGAGGGAGCCUGAGAAACGGCUACCACUUCCAAGGAAGGCAGCAGGCGCGCAAAUUACCCAAUCUCAACACGAG